rnacentral:piRNA from 1 species
UUGUAGUGUUUACCUCGUCUUCCCAAAAUG